UUCCGGUUGAUCCUGCCGGACCUGACUGCUAUCGGAUUGAUACUAAGCCAUGCGAGUCAUUGUAGCAAUACAAGGCAGACGGCUCAGUAACGCGUAGUCAACCUAACCUAUGGACGGGAAUAACCUCGGGAAACUGAGAAUAAUGCCCGAUAGAACACUAUACCUGGAAUGGUUUGUGUUCCAAAUGAUUUAUCGCCGUAGGAUGGGACUGCGGCCUAUCAGUUUGUUGGUGAGGUAAUGGCCCACCAAGACUAUUACAGGUACGGGCUCUGAGAGGAGUAGCCCGGAGAUGGGUACUGAGACACGGACCCAGGCCCUAUGGGGCGCAGCAGGCGAGAAAACUUUGCAAUGUGCGAAAGCACGACAAGGUUAAUCCGAGUGAUUUGUGCUAAACGAAUCUUUUGUUAGUCCUAGAAACACUAACGAAUAAGGGGUGGGCAAGUUCUGGUGUCAGCCGCCGCGGUAAAACCAGCACCUCAAGUGGUCAGGAUGAUUAUUGGGCCUAAAGCAUCCGUAGCCUGCUUUGUAAGUUUUCGGUUAAAUCCAUAUGCUCAACGUAUGGGCUGCCGGGAAUACUGCAAAGCUAGGGAGUGGGAGAGGUAGACGGUACUCGGUAGGAGGGGGUAAAAUCCUUUGAUCUAUUGAUGACCACCUGUGGCGAAGGCGGUCUACCAGAACACGUCCGACGGUGAGGGAUGAAAGCUGGGGGAGCAAACCGGAUUAGAUACCCGGGUAGUCCCAGCUGUAAACUAUGCAAACUCAGUGAUGCAUUGGCUUGAUGCCAAUGCAGUGCUGCAGGAAGCCGUUAAGUUUGCCGCCUGGGAAGUACGUACGCAAGUAUGAAACUUAAAGGAAUUGGCGGGGGAGCACCACAAGGGGUGAGCCUGCGGUUCAAUUGGAUUCAACGCCGGAA
rnacentral:rRNA from 1 species